UUGUUCUGCCAAGAGCAUCGCAGCGUAGCUAAGUUUGGAAAGGAUAAACGCUGAAAGCAUCUAAGCGUGAAGCCAACUCUAAGAUGAAUCUUCUCUAAGCUCUCUAGAAGACUACUAGUUUGAUAGGCUGGGUGUGUAAUGGAUGAAAGUCCUUUAGCUGACCAGUACUAAUAGAGCGUUUGGCUUAUCUUUAAUAAAGCAU
rnacentral:rRNA from 1 species